GUCACGCUGUAAACGAUGUCGAUUUGGAGUUUGUUGCCUAGAGUGAUGGGCUCCGAAGCUAACGCGAUAAAUCGACCGCUGGGGAGUACGGCCGCAAGGUUAAAACUCAAAUGAAUUGACGGGGGCCCGCACAAGCGGUGGAGCAUGUGGUUUAAUUCGAUGCAACGCGAAGAACCUUACCUGGUCUUGACAUCCAUAGAAUUCUGCAGAGAUGUGGGAGUGCCUUCGGGAACUAUGAGACAGGUGCUGCAUGGCUGUCGUCAGCUCGUGUUGUGAAAUGUUGGGUUAAGUCCCGCAACGAGCGCAACCCUUAUUCUUUGUUGCCAGCGAUUUGGUCGGGAACUCAAAGGAGACUGCCGUUGAUAAAGCGGAGGAAGGUGGGGACGACGUCAAGUCAUCAUGGCCCUUACGACCAGGGCUACACACGUGCUACAAUGGCGUAUACAAAGGGAAGCGAAGGUGCGAGCUGGAGCGGAUCUCAUAAAGUACGUCUAAGUUCGGAUUGGGGUCUGCAACUCGACUCCAUGAAGUCGGAAUCGCUAGUAAUCGUAGAUCAGAAUGCUACGGUGAAUACGUUCCCGGGCCUUGUACACACCGCCCGUCACACCAUGGGAGUGGGUUGCACCAGAAGUAGAUAGCUUAACCGCGAGGGGGGCGUUUACCACGGUGUGAUUCAUGACUGGGGUGAAGUCGUAACAAGGUAACCA
rnacentral:rRNA from 1 species